UGGGGAAUCUUGCACAAUGGGCGAAAGCCUGAUGCAGCAACGCCGCGUGCGGGAAGAAGGCCCUAGGGUUGUAAACCGCUUUCAGCAGGGAAGAAACUGACGGUACCUGCAGAAGAAGGUGCGGCCAACUACGUGCCAGCAGCCGCGGUGACACGUAGGCACCAAGCGUUGUCCGGAUUUAUUGGGCGUAAAGAGCUCGUAGGCGGUUCGGUAAGUCGGGUGUGAAAACUCUGGGCUCAACCCAGAGCCGCCACCCGAUACUGCUGUGACUCGAGUGCGGUAGGGGAGCGGGGAAUGCCUGGUGUAGCGGUGAAAUGCGCAGAUAUCAGGAGGAACACCAGUGGCGAAGGCGCCGCUCUGGGCCGUGACUGACGCUGAGGAGCGAAAGCGUGGGUAGCAAACAGG
rnacentral:rRNA from 1 species